rnacentral:rRNA from 1 species
UACGUAGGUGGCAAGCGUUAUCCGGAAUUAUUGGGCGUAAAGCGCGCGUAGGCGGUUUCUUAAGUCUGAUGUGAAAGCCCACGGCUCAACCGUGGAGGGUCAUUGGAAACUGGGAAACUUGAGUGCAGAAGAGGAAAGUGGAAUUCCAUGUGUAGCGGUGAAAUGCGCAGAGAUAUGGAGGAACACCAGUGGCGAAGGCGACUUUCUGGUCUGUAACUGACGCUGAUGUGCGAAAGCGUGGGGAUCAAACAGG